AGAGAGGGAGUUGAACCCUGUGCUUCAUUAGAGCUAACCCUAACCCUGUCUGAGCUAUUUAAUCUGAUCAGGUGAGGUAUUUAAUCUGAUCAGGUGAGGUAUUUAUUCUGAUCAGGUGAGGUAUUUAUUCUGAUCAGGUGAGGUAUUUAUACUGAUCAGGUGAGGUAUUUAAUCUGUGAUCAGGUGAGGUAUUUAUUCUGUGAUCAGGUGAGGUAUUUAUACUGAUCAGGUGAGGUAUUUAUUCUGUGAUCAGGUGAGGUAUUUAUACUGAUCAGGUGAGGUAUUUAUUCUGUGAUCAGGUGAGGUAUUUAAUCUGUGAUCAGGUGAGGUAUUUAUUCUGUGAUCAGGUGAGGUAUUUAUUCUGAUCAGGUGAGGCCAUUUUGUUGUCAUAGAAAGCAACAGCAGAUGGCGCUAACUGACUGACCGAGGCUGACAGUUAUCUAAAAAAUUAAAGUCUAUUUAGCUAACGUUACAUAAAGGAGUUCACUAUUUUGCUAUCCCGACUGUCAGAAAAAACGAAGGGAAAGCUACCAAGGAGUCACUGUAGGAGAGAGCUAUGGCUGCUCAGAAUUAACAGACUGACCUUCCAGCCCACUCCUCACAGCAAAGUCUGUUCUGACCAUUUCGCGACAGAUAAACAGGAACGUAAAUUACCUUAAGGUUUCAAAUGUUUGUUAGGUUGU
ensembl:lncRNA